rnacentral:rRNA from 1 species
GACGAACGCUGGCGGCGUGCUUAACACAUGCAAGUCGAACGAAAAGAGGGAAAGAGCUUGCUCUUUCCGGAAUUGAGUGGCAAACGGGUGAGUAACACGUAAACAACCUGCCUUCAGGAUGGGGACAACAGACGGAAACGACUGCUAAUACCGAAUAAGUUCCAAGGGCCGCAUGGCCCAUGGAAGAAAAGGUGGCCUCUACCUGUAAGCUAUCGCCUGAAGAGGGGUUUGCGUCUGAUUAGCUGGUUGGAGGGGUAACGGCCCACCAAGGCGACGAUCAGUAGCCGGUCUGAGAGGAUGAACGGCCACACUGGAAUUGAGACACGGUCCAGACUCCUACGGGAGGCAGCAGUGGGGAAUCUUCCGCAAGGGGCGAAAGCCUGACGGAGCAACGCCGCGUGAGUGAUGACGGCCUUCGGGUUGUAAAACUCUGUGAUCCGGGACGAAAAGGCAGAGUGCGAAGAACAAACUGCAUUGACGGUACCGGAAAAGCAAGCCACGGCUAACUACGUG